rnacentral:rRNA from 1 species
GGGCCCGCACAAGCGGUGGAGUAUGUGGUUUAAUUCGAUGCAACGCGAAGAACCUUACCAGGGUUUGACAUCCUGCGAAUUUCUGGGAAACCGGAAAGUGCCUUCGGGAGCGCAGUGACAGGUGGUGCAUGGCUGUCGUCAGCUCGUGUCGUGAGAUGUUGGGUUAAGUCCCGCAACGAGCGCAACCCACGUCUUUAGUUGCCAGCAUUUAGUUGGGCACUCUAGAGAGACUGCCGGUGUUAAACCGGAGGAAGGCGGGGAUGACGUCAAGUCCUCAUGGCCCUUACGGGUAGGGCUACACACGUACUACAAUGGCAGAAACAAACUGACGCAAGACCGCGAGGUGGAGCAAAUCAGUAAAACACUGUCUAAAGUCCGGAUUGGAGUCUGCAAUUCGACUCCAUGAAGUUGGAAUCGCUAGUAAUCG